GGGCUGUUGGUCUAGAGGUAUGAUUCUCGCUUUGGGGAAGUUGGUAAAACCCUCUUUCUUUGCGAGAGGUCCCGGGUUCAAUCCCCGGACAGCCCC